rnacentral:tRNA from 1 species
UCCCUGGUGGUCCAGUGGUUAAGACUCUGAACUCUCAAUGCAGAGGGCCUGGGUUUGAUCCUGAGUCAGGGAA